GGCCGCCGUGGCCGGCGGGGCGGCGGCCAUUGUGGUUUCCAAUCACGGCGGCCGCGCCCUGGACCACACGCCGGGGACGGCGGC
rnacentral:tRNA from 1 species